rnacentral:lncRNA from 1 species
CAGAGCCAGAAUGUUGAGCGAGGCAGCAGCAGGGGAGCUCCCACUCCACAGCCAGAUGGCCUGGUUCAUGUCUCCGCUCCCUUACGGUGCGGUGCCUCGGUUUCCAAACCUGCAUAAUGGAGUUAUUAGUCGUGCCUGCCUCCCAGGAUUGAGGUAAGGAAGCAAUUCAUCUACAAAAGCAAAAUAUUUAGAAAUACCCGGGCAAGUGAUAUCAUCUUUUGGGAGAUAGUUGAGAAAUUAUAGAUUUAAAACAUUGCAGGGAUGGAGAGGUGGGUCAAUGGUUAGAGCACUGGCUGCUCUUCCAGAGGACCCAGGUUCAGUUCCCAGAAUCCACAUGGCAGCUAUUAACGGUUUGCAAAUCUAGUGUCAGAUAAUGAGGUACAGUGCCAUGUAUGUGUGGGGUACAUGCCUACAUGCAGGCAAGACACUCAUACAUAUAAAAUGAAAAUAAAUCUUUUGUUUUGUUCUGUUUUCAUUUUUUGGAAACAGUGUUUCUCUGUAGAGUCCUAGCAGUCCUGGAAUUGACUCUCUAGAAGAGAAUGGCCUCUAACUCAGAGAUCCAUCUGCCUCUGUCUCCCAAACCCUGGGGUUAAAGGUGUAGGACACCACCCACCGGCAUAAAUAAAUAUU